AUGGACACCAGCCGUGUGCAGCCUAUCAAGCUGGCCAGGGUCACCAAGGUCCUGGGCAGGACCGGCUCUCAGGGACAGUGCACGCAGGUGCGCGUGGAAUUCAUGGACGACACGAGCCGAUCCAUCAUCCGCAAUGUAAAAGGCCCCGUGCGCGAGGGCGACGUGCUCACCCUUUUGGAGUCAGAGCGAGAAGCCCGGAGGUUGCGCUGA
rnacentral:lncRNA from 1 species